AUUUCAUUGUUAUUGUUUCAGCACUUUUAUCUUUAUUGUUUAGCACUUUCUAAUUAUAGAGUAGUAUAAAUAGGGCAAGUUUGAGCUAAGAGAAGCAGCUGAUUUUAGGUCAAGUCUUCUAGGUUUAGAGCUGAGUGUAGGAUGUUCUUGUUUCUCGAAGCUUUUCAGUGAUUAAGCUUCCCGAUUCAACCUUGUUAAACGUUUGGUUUCUAUUUCAAUAUAUAUAUCAGUUUGAGUUGCUUACAAUUGGUAUCUAGAGCCAUAGUUCUGGGAAGGAUAAACAUGGCAGAUGGUACACGGUUUGCUGAGCUAAGGAAGGACAUGGAUAUGAUGCGGGAACAGAUGCAAGCAAUAGCUGAAGCCAACACGAAAAAUGUGGAAGAAAACCGUGCUAUGAUGUCUUUGAUGAUGGCUAAGUUUCAACAACAGUUUGCUUCACAUAAUGAUGGUGGAAGAGCUCCAGAUCUGGGAACACAUGAGGAUCUUCAAGGAGGUACAGAGUAUCAGCUGCCCACUAAGUGCUCCUCAGUUGAAUUUCCUAAGUUUGAUGGCACAAAUCUGCGUAGUUGGGUGUAUAAGUGUGAUCAAUUUUUUGAUGUUGAUGGUACACCCUCAAAUUCUAAGGUGAAGCUGGCAGCUGUACAUUUGGAAGGAAGAGCCCUUCAAUGGCACCAGACAUACAUGAAGGCUCGCCUUACAAGAGAAAUUCCGAGCUGGGAAGAGUACAUACGAGCCUUGAAUAGCAGAUUUGGCACUCUGCUGUUUGAAGACCCGAUGUCUGAGCUGAUGAAUCUCAAACAAACUGGAUCUCUGCAGGAUUAUUUGGAUAGGUUUGAUGAGUUGAUGAAUUGUGUAGAUCUCUCAGAACCUUAUGCAGUGAGUUGCUUCCUUGGAGGAUUGAAACCUGAAAUUUCCUUACAGAUUAGGAUGUUCAAACCUAAAAAUAUGAUGGAAGUAGUAAGCCUAGCCAAAUUACAGGAACAGACCCUCACCUUAUCUCCCAGAAAGCACCCCAUCCAACAGCAAAACCCUACCCUAAACCCUAUCAGAGCUCCAUACACUUCUAACAGACCAAACACUUUAGCCAUUACUAGGAUUCCCAACCAUAGUUCUAACACUUAUAUGAGCAACAACCACACUAGCCCUCAUUCCAACAGAAAUAGCCCAACCAACCCCAGAAACCAUAGCCAACCCUUUACUCAAACAAAAAGACUAAGCAAUCAGGAAGUGGAUGAUAGAAGGGCCAAGGGCCUCUGCUUUUGGUGUGAUGAGAAGUACUCAAGAGAUCACAACUGCCCCAAGAAGAGACAGAUGUAUGUGAUGGAGAUUUCUGAGGAUGAGACCAUGGUAGAGAGUGAGUUGGAGUAUAACCCCAGUGUAGUAACAGAAGAGAGAAUGGAGGAAGGAGAUGAGCAGAUUUCACAGGUCUCUAUACAUGCUAUGACUGGAACUCAUGAUUUUAGGAACAUGAGAUUGACUGGAUCAUCCAAAGGAAAAACUAUACACAUCUUAAUUGACAAUGGAAGCACACACAACUUUUUGGAUGAACAAACUGCAAGAUCUUUGGGAUGUGAUCUAGUGGAUAUGAAACCAUCAGCUGUGAAUGUGCCUGGAGGAAACAGGCUUGUAACUAAAUUCAAGUGCCCAAACUUCACUUGGAAGAUGCAUGGGGUGGAAUUCUCAGCAGAAGUUAUGACAUUACCUUUAGGAAGCUGUGACUUAGUGCUUGGCAUUCAGUGGUUGGUCACUUUAGGGGAUAUAUGCAGUAAUUACCAACAACUGAAAAUGGAAUUCAACCACUUAGGUAAAAAAGUGGUGUUGAGGGGUCUCCAACCUAACUCAGUGAAGUUAGUUUCUAAUAAGAAGUUGCAUAAGAUUCUACAGAAGCCAUCUCAGAUUGCUUACCAGUGCAUUGGAAGUUUACAAGAUGGAGCUCCCUUAAGUGCACACACAACUCAGGACUGCACUGAUCAAGGAGAAAGUUCAUUAGAAUGCAUUGCUAGUCUGAAUUCCAUGGAAUGCAUGGAAGAAGAAGGAAUGACAGAGCUACUAAAUGAGUAUGCAGAUUUAUUUGCUGAGCCUAAGAGUCUGCCACCUCACAGAGAGCAUGACCACAAGAUACACCUUAAAGAAGGGUCAGAAGCUAUCAAUGUGAGACCCUAUAGAUACCCAGCCAUACAAAAGAAUGAGAUUGAAGCUAUUGUGCAAGAGUUACUAGACUCAGGAGUGAUCAGAACCAGCAACAGCCCCUUCUCAUCUCCAGUGGUGUUGGUGAAAAAGAAAGACAACUCUUGGAGGAUGUGUGUAGAUUAUAGAGAGCUCAACAAGAACACUGUCAAGGAUAAAUUCCCCAUUCCAGUCAUUGAAGAGUUGUUGGAUGAGUUGCAUGGGGCCAAUGUUUUCUCUAAACUGGACCUAAGAUCUGGCUACCACCAGAUUAGAAUGCAGGAAGAAGACAUUAUGAAGACAGCUUUUAGAACUCACCAUGGGCACUAUGAGUUCUUAGUCAUGCCAUUUGGUCUGACUAAUGCACCCUCUACCUUUCAGAGCCUUAUGAAUAAGAUUUUCCAUAAGCAACUAAGGAAGUUUGUCUUGGUUUUCUUUGAUGAUAUUCUGGUUUACAGUGGAAGUUGGCACUCACACCUCACACAAUUGAAGGAAGUGUUGGAAAUUCUAAGAGAGCAUCAGUUGUUUAUCAAGAGAAAUAAAUGCUCCUUUGGGAGUUCUUCUAUUGAAUAUUUAGGGCAUGUGAUCACACCAGAAGGAGUGGCAGCUGACCCUAGCAAAACUCAAGCCAUGAAAGACUGGCCAGUUCCUAGAACCAUCAAGGAAUUGAGAGGAUUUUUAGGCUUAACUGGUUAUUAUAGGAGGUUUGUCAAAGACUAUGGGAAGAUAGCUUACCCUUUGACUCAGUUGCUGAGGAAGGAUAGUUUCAAAUGGAGUGAAGAAACUCAACAAGCAUUUAACUCCCUCAAGGAGGCUAUGACUCACACACCAGUGCUAGCACUUCCAGACUUUUCUAAGGAGUUCACCAUUGAGACUGAUGCCUCUGGCACUGGCAUGGGAGCUGUAUUGAUGCAGCAAGGCAAACCAAUAGCUUAUAUGAGCAAGGCACUAAACAUGACUCAAUGUGCUCUGUCCACUUAUGAGAAGGAACUCCUUGCUUUAGUGACAGCUGUUCAAAAGUGGAGACCAUAUUUGAUUGACAACCACUUCACUGUGAGAACUGAUCACCAGAGCUUGAAGUACUUAAUGGACCAGAGAGUGGCCACCCCAGCUCAGCAGAAAUGGUUGGUUAAGCUAUUAGGGUAUGACUUCUCAGUGGCAUACAAAAGAGGGAGGGACAAUGUAGUAGCAGAUGGCUUGUCCAGGGUGGUCAUUCCAGAGGCAAGCUGUUUCACUAUCUCUAUGCAUCAAUGUUCCUUUUUGGAAGAGAUUAAACAAACAUAUGUUACUGAUCCUAAGUUACAAAAGAUCAUUCAAGGUUUAAAGGAAGGUAAAAACAACAAACCUUCCUAUUCAUGGACUGCUGAAGUGUUAUUGAGAAAAGGGAAGUUAGUGGUAGGAAAAGAGAAGGAGUUGAGGGACAAAAUUCUCAGUCAUUAUCAUAGUUCUGCAGUGGGAGGACAUUCUGGAAUCCAUAGCACCCUCCAUAGGGUUAAGCAAAUCUUUUAUUGGAAGGGACUGAAGAGUGAUGUGCACACGUGGGUGCAACAAUGUGAUGUGUGUCAAAGAUGCAAGGGGGAGACAGUGGCAGCCCCAGGGUUAUUACAACCACUCCCCAUUCCUAAGAGGAUCUGGGAGGACAUAUCUAUGGAUUUCAUUGGAGGACUGCCAAAUUCUGGAGGAAAAGACACCAUCUUAGUGGUGGUGGAUAGGCUGAGCAAGGCUGCACACUUCAUAAGUUUGAAGCACCCUUACACAGCUAGCUCAGUAGCACAGCUUUUCAUGGAAAAUAUAUACAAGUUGCAUGGGAUGCCUAAGACCAUAGUGAGUGAUAGAGAUCCUAUCUUUAUGAGCAGAUUUUGGCAAGAAUUCUUCAAACUUCAAGGUUCCCAGUUGCACACUUCAACUGCCUAUCACCCUCAGACAGAUGGUCAAUCUGAGGUGGUGAAUAAGUGCCUUGAAGGAUACUUAAGGUGUAUGAGUGGGGAAAGACCUAAGGAAUGGGCUCAGUGGCUGCCUUUGGCUGAAUGGUGGUACAACACCACCUUUCAUUCAUCUUUACAAACCACCCCUUAUGAGGUUGUGUAUGGUCAGAAGGCCCCCCUCCACUUACCCUACAUUCCAUUGGCAUCUCCUAAUGAAUUGGUGGAUAGAAGUCUACAACACAGAGAAGCCACUAUAAGGGUGAUCAGAGAACAACUAUUAAGGGCACAAAAUAGAAUGAAAGUGCAAACUGACAAGAGGAGAAGUGAGAGGGUUUUUCAGGUGGGAGAUUGGGUGUUUGUGAAGCUGCAGCCAUAUAGGCAGCAAUCUGCUAGAACACACACCUAUAACAAGCUGUCAGCUAGGUUCUUUGGACCGUACAAGGUGUUAAAACGGGUUGGAGAGGUGGCUUAUACACUGGAAUUGCCACAGAAUUCUAAGAUUCAUCCCACAUUUCAUGUUUCUCAACUUAAGAAGAAAAUUGGAUCUUUGAUCAGCCAAAAACACUUACCUACUACAAUCACUGCACACGGGCACAUUUUACUUGAACCACACUCUAUUGUUGAUCGCAGGUUGGUACAGAAGAACAACAGGGCAGUCACUCAAUGGCUCAUCAAGUGGUUUAAUGCUCCAGAUGAAGACUCGACGUGGGAGGAUUGCGAGGAUAUUCAGAAACGUUUUCCAGCUUUUUGUCCUUGAGGACAAGGACAUUUUAGAGGGAGGCAUUGUUACCAGCUUAAUUGGAAGAGUAGAAUUAAUUAGCAAGAGAAGGGAAGAACAUGCAAGGGAGAGAGACGAAGAAGACAUGCAGAAUACCUAAUCAAGAAUAUGAUAUUUGCAGAGAAGAAUUACUACCAUCUAUUCGAAGACGCAUUUUCAAAUACACGCUUUUAUUACUUUUACGUUUUUAUUAGUAACGGGUCCCAGCUUGCCACGUGGCCGAGUAGAGGAAGAAGAGAAGAAGCAGCUGAAGAAACGUUAUUUCAUUGUUAUUGUUUCAGCACUUUUAUCUUUAUUGUUUAGCACUUUCUAAUUAUAGAGUAGUAUAAAUAGGGCAAGUUUGAGCUAAGAGAAGCAGCUGAUUUUAGGUCAAGUCUUCUAGGUUUAGAGCUGAGUGUAGGAUGUUCUUGUUUCUCGAAGCUUUUCAGUGAUUAAGCUUCCCGAUUCAACCUUGUUAAACGUUUGGUUUCUAUUUCAAUAUAUAUAUCAGUUUGAGUUGCUUACAU
rnacentral:lncRNA from 1 species